rnacentral:lncRNA from 1 species
UUUGGUGUUGGCUGUAACAUUGGCCCCAGGGUCAAAAGGAGGGGAAAAUCACAAGGGUCAACUUGAGAAUGGAACAAAGAAUAGAUGAAAGCGAGAUGAAAGUGGCAAGAAGGGAAAAAGAUGAAAGAACAGGGAAAAAGGAAUCAAGGAAAACGUGUUAGUAGAAAUGAAAGGAACCAGACCCUGAAAUAGAUGGGAAAGAGGCGAUAGUGAACUAAUCAGGGACGCGGUGGUGAGACAGUUAGCAAGGAGAGUUGCAGAUUUUAGCGCUGAGAGACUAAGCAGGGAAUAAGCACAAGAUUAGAGGCAGUGGUCCAAGUCACGAGAUGCCGCAUGGGUUUUUUACUUUUCUAGGCCAAUUGAUCUUACAUUUCAGGUGUUUGAUAAAAUGUCUCUAUGAAUUAAUUAGCUUCCUAACUCUUUCUGGUACGAUUAAAAGAGUAUUUUACUAGUUUGCUUUUUGCUGCUGAGGUGAUUGGCUUACAGUUACCACAGUUUUUAUGACGACUUUAAUUUGGAAUUAUCACGAAAGUAGAUAAUCUCGGACAAUGUAAGUUUUGCAUUAACUUCUUUAUAAAUAUGGUCUAG